rnacentral:lncRNA from 1 species
CAUUAACCACUGUAGGUCACCGUACGGCGUCAACAAUGAACAAAGCCCAUACCGCAUAGUCAGCUACAAAAGGCCCCGAUAAUACAAUGUAAAACAAUGCAAACGAGAAAACUAUAACGGUCUUAUUUGUAUAAAAAAAAAAUGAACGAAAAACUAAUAUGUAACCCAUAAACAAACGACAACCACUGAAUUACAGGCUCCUGACUUGGGACAGGCACAUACACAAAUAAUGUGGCGGGGUUAAACAUGUUAGCGGGAUCCCCUAACCUGGGACAGUGGAAUAAAAGUACAACAUAAGAACG